rnacentral:rRNA from 1 species
UAAUACAGAGGGUGCGAGCGUUAAUCGGAUUUACUGGGCGUAAAGCGUGCGUAGGCGGCUUCUUAAGUCGGAUGUGAAAUCCCUGAGCUUAACUUAGGAAUUGCAUUCGAUACUGGGAAGCUAGAGUAUGGGAGAGGAUGGUAGAAUUCCAGGUGUAGCGGUGAAAUGCGUAGAGAUCUGGAGGAAUACCGAUGGCGAAGGCAGCCAUCUGGCCUAAUACUGACGCUGAGGUACGAAAGCAUGGGGAGCAAACAGGAUUAGAUACCCUGGUAGUCCAUGCCGUAAACGAUGUCUACUAGCCGUUGGGGCCUUUGAGGCUUUAGUGGCGCAGCUAACGCGAUAAGUAGACCGCCUGGGGAGUACGGUCGAAAGACUAAA